rnacentral:rRNA from 1 species
AGUCAACCUGCCCUGGGGACGUGGACAACCAUGGGAAACUGUGGCUAAACCGCGAUAGGUCAUCGCUUCUGGAAUGGGCAAUGGCUCAAACCUACAUGGCCCCAGGAUGGGACUGCGACCGAUCAGGUUGUUGGUGAGGUAAUGGCCCACCAAACCUAUAACCGGUACGGGCUCUGAGAGGAGGAGCCCGGAGAUGGACACUGAGACAAGGGUCCAGGUCCUAUGGGACGCAGCAGGCGCGAAACCUUCGCAAUAGGCGAAAGCCUGACGAGGUUAAUCUGAGUGUUUCCUGCUAAAGGAAUCUUUUGUCAGCUCUAAAAAUGCUGAUGAAUAAGGGGUGGGCAAGCCUGGUGUCAGCCGCCGCGGUAAUACCAGCACCCCGAGUGGUCGGGAUGAUUAUUUGGCCUAAAGCAUCCGUAGCCGGCCCCGUAAGUCUUCCGUUAAAUCCACCUGCUCAACAGUUGGGCUGCGGGAGAUACUGUGAGGCUAGGAGGCGGGAGAGGCGAGGGGUAUUCCUUGGGUAGGGGUAAAAUCCUCUGAUCCAUGGAGGACCACCAGUGGCGAAGGCGUCUCGCCAGAACGCGCUCGACGGUGAGGGAUGAAAGCUGGGGGAGCAAACCGGAUUAGAUACCCGGGUAGUCCCAGCUGUAAACGAUGUAGGCUCGGUGAUGGGUUGGGUUCGACCCAACCCAGUGCCGCAGGGAAGCCGUUAAGCCUACCGCCUGGGGAGUACGGUCGCAAGACUGAAACUUAA